rnacentral:lncRNA from 1 species
UCUCAAACUCACAUCUUCAAAACAAAAAAUCUUCAAAACAAAAAAAUAACCAGAUCUCAAACUAUCAUCUUCAAAAAAAAAUAACCAGAUCUCAAACUAUCAUCUUCAAAAAAAAAAUAACCAGACGGUGGUGGGAGGUGCUUGCUCGGCAGCGGAGGACGGUGGUGGAAGGUGGUUGGUUGGCGACGGAAGACGGUGGUGGGGAGGUGGUUGGUGGGAGUUGGUCAGCGGCGGUGGUGAAAAUUUAACCGAAUCACUUCAUCUGAAACCCUAACGACAUCAAAACGGAGAAAACCGAAUUAUACGAAUUCGGCGACGGACCCGGAGCCAAAUCUGACGGUGGCGGAGACGGCGAUGGUGGCGAUUUUCAUGUGUAAAAACGAACAAAACCGUGGACUCAAGAGUUGAUGGCGAGGUUUUAUGUGUUUGAAGAACCUUUCAGUUAUGAUUGAAAAUGGUAAAGAAUUUUAUGUUCUUGGUUCGACGGUGGGUGGUGGAUGGCAGUGGUUGUUUGGUAGAGUCCGACGACUUUAGGUUUCGGCAUUUUGGAGGGAUCAAAUUAGGUACUGGAAAUCAAGCAAGAUUAUGAUACUGGAAAACAUGGCAUAACAAUGGUCACCUUUAAAUUAGUUUUGAUCAAGCUGAAGCAUUAGAGGAAGUUUAAGUUUUGUUGCGGUUUUGUUCGUUCUCUGUGGUGAUGGGUUUCAUGUGGUGGUCAAUUUUCAAGUGGUGAUGGGUUUCAAGUGGGUGGUCACUGAUUUAGGAGAAAAGAAUGGGGUGUAAGUUUAAGUUUUGAUGGGUUUCAUGUGGUGGUCGAUUUUCAAUUGGUGAUGGGUUUCAAGUGGGUGGUCACUCAAGGAUUUGGUUUUGUCAAUUGGUGAAGGUGUUCUUCUGAAGCCUCUUAAGAGUUUGGAUUGUUCAAUUGGUAAGCUAGUGUUCUUGGUGGUUUUUAACUUUUAAUCUUUUACAUAUUUUGAAUUUUUGAUUCGAAUGUAAAAGAACUAGACCAAGUUUGUUAUGGGUUUUCUAAAUUACUUGGUUUCAAGUUCAUAUAAUUUUGAUCUUUGUUGGAAACCCAUUUGGGAUGGUGUUUGUUUAAUUGAAUUUGAUAACUGUUUUUUUUUU